rnacentral:lncRNA from 1 species
AGUAUCUCAUAUUUGGGAUGAGAAAAGUAUUUACUGAAACUAUUUUUCUUUCCAAUAGGAUAAUCUGCAUUUACAACAUCAAGCUGCUAUCUUCCAUUUGGGCCAGUUUGAAGAACGAACACAAGCAUGUGUGCAAUUUGUAAGGGUUGGUAAACUUGGAGAACUGGAGUUGUUCAGGAUUGCUGAAGAUGAAAAUUGCUUUAAUCACAGUGGAGCUAAAGGCUAGAGGCGGCAGGAUGUGGCUAAAGAACCACAAAAAGAACAUUCCUUUUUGGAAAGUCUUCCCCCAUCUUCGUAGUGUGAAGAGAACAUCUAUGUGUGUGCAUUGGCACCUGAGUGAUGGGCACUUUGGAUUUAGAAUAAAGAUGCGUGAGGGUGUGGCUCAGGAGUAUUCUGGCCUGAGGUGAGUCUUUCUCCCUUUUCAUCCCUUCUUUGCCUCUUUUUAAGGUGGUU